rnacentral:rRNA from 1 species
UACGAAGGGUGCUAGCGUUGUUCGGAUUUACUGGGCGUAAAGGGCGCGUAGGCGGCUUAACAAGUCACUUGUGAAAUCUCCGGGCUUAACUCGGAACGGCCAAGUGAAACUGUCAAGCUAGAGUGCAGAAGGGGCAAUCGGAAUUCUUGGUGUAGCGGUGAAAUGCGUAGAUAUCAAGAGGAACACCUGAGGUGAAGACGGGUUGCUGGGCUGACACUGACGCUGAGGCGCGAAAGCCAGGGGAGCAAACGGG